ACAAGCGGUGGAGCAUGUGGUUUAAGUUCGAAGCAACGCGAAGAACCUUACCUGGUCUUGACAUCCCGGAGACCCUUAGGAAACUAGGGGUGCUUCCAUCUGGAAGAAUCUGGAGACAGGUGCUGCAUGGCUGUCGUCAGCUCGUGUCGUGAGAUGUUGGGUUAAGUCCCGCAACGAGCGCAACCCUUGCCUUUAGUUGCCAGCAGUUCGGCUGGGCACUCUAAAGGGACUGCCGGUGUUAAACCGGAGGAAGGUGGGGAUGACGUCAAGUCCUCAUGGCCUUUAUGACCAGGGCUACACACGUACUACAAUGGCCGAUACAAAGGGCAGCGACACUGCGAGGUGAAGCCAAUCCCGUAAAAUCGGUCUCAGUCCGGAUUGGAGUCUGCAACUCGACUCCAUGAAGUUGGAAUCGCUAGUAAUCGUGGAUCAGCAUGCCACGGUGAAUACGUUCCCGGGCCUU
rnacentral:rRNA from 1 species